UGUCUAUUGCAUAUUGUUUUAUAUCUUUGAGAACUCAUGUUGUGGUAUUAUUUCUGAUAAGUUCUCUUUCUUGCAGUUCUUUUGCUAAACAUGUGUGAAAGUCAAACUUUAGUCAUUUUUUCAGGAUGUUGAAGAUUCUAAACGCGAGAAUAAGAAAAAAAAAUUCCAUGCAGGGAAGCUGGCCAAUAGAUUGAAGAAAGAAGAUGCCAAGGUAUUGUUGGCGGCAGGAGAUACUUUUAGAGCAGCUGCAAGCGAUCAAUUGGAGAUAUGGAUAGAAAUAUCAAAGGAACUUCAGAAGUUCAGGGGUCUGCCUAUUUUACGACCAUAUAUUGAACAUUUUUCCCACUUGUCUUCAGAACUUGAGAAUUAUUUUUUUGCUUUGUUGUGACUAUAAAUUUCUCUCAUAAUUUUUGCAUUAAAUCCUGCAAGCCUUGGACGGGACAAGUCUAAACAUGCUUCACAAGCCAGAGAAUUUAAUGAUGUAAUAUUUCCUACCCCUGGAAAUGUUAGUUCAUUGUAUUCUUGUUUUCUCAAGUGUUACUUACACACCUCACCGUACCAGAAAUGAAAAAUGGUUCUUAAUUCA